UGUCGUUUUACAUUUAGGAAUCCGUUUUUGGAAUUUCUGAAAUUGUUUCUUGUGUUCUACUCUAAAUGCUUUUUCUUCUCUAUAUUUUUGUUUGUUUUUUUAUACUCGCAUUGGUUUUCUAGUUAGACAUUGUUGUCAUAUUCAGUACAGUGUUGAAGGAUCCUCUACGGUGUCGGAGUUUCCGGCGGUUGAAAUAGGUUAUCAUUUGUGUUUUCUUCCUCGCUAUUUAUGGCGUCUAUUUUCGUCUUCUUGAUUCGGACUGUGUUCCGGAUCGAGGAAUCUGUAAUACCAGAAUGUGACUACCUAUUCGAUGUCAUUUUACAUUUAGGAAUCCGAUUUUGGAAUUUCUGAAAUUGUUGACUGUGUUCUACUCUCAAUGCUUCUUCUUCUCUAUAUUUUUGUUUGUUUUUGAUGCAUGAUGCUUGAAUCAGUAGGUUUUGCUUUACUGAGGUGGAAGAAUGGUUUUAGAAGUUUUAAGUGAUGGAUUACUACUCGCAUUGCUUUUCUAGUUAGACAUUGUUGUCAUAAGCAGUACAGCGUUGAAGGAUCCUCUACGGUGUCGGAGUUUCCGGCGGUUGAAAUAGGUUCUCGUUUGUUUUUUCUUCCUCGCUAUUUAUGGCGUCCAUUUUCGUCUUCUUGAUUCGGACUGUGUUCCGGAUCGACGAAUCUGUAAUACCAGAAUGUGACUACCUAUUCGAUGUCAAUUUACAUUUAGGAAUCCGUUUUUGGAAUUUCUGAAACUUUUGACUGUGUUCUACUCUCAAUGCUUCUUCUUCUCUAUGUUUGUUUUUGAUGCUUGAUGCUUGAAUCGGUAGGUUUUGCUUUACUGAGGUGGAAGAAUGGUUUUAGAAGUUUUAAGUGAUGGAUUACUACUCGCAUUGCUUUUCUAGUUAGACAUUGUUGUCAUAAGCAGUACAGCGUUGAAGGAUCCUCUACGGUGUCGGAGUUUCCGGCGGUUGAAAUAGGUAUUCUUAUAUGCCCUUUUAGAUGGACGGAGGUGAUACCCGCCUUCCAUGCCCGUGUACCAGCGGCGGAUCCACAUAGAGGCUUUUGCUCUCUGUGGUUAUGGAGGUAGAGUAAAGACCAGAGCAUUAAUAAGCCAAACAAGUUUAAGAAAUCAAGUGAAAGCUUUCGAGAUGGACAAAGCUUCUGUUUCCGAACGCACAACUGUCUCAUAUCUCUACUUUGGACUCCUCAAACACGAAGUCAUUAUGAAGAGUGGCUUCUACUACUUCAACAUUGAAGGUCUUUUGAACAGGCAAACAAAAACGUAACGUGCCUCAUGAACGUUGAUUCGCAUUAAUGUCAUGAAAUCGGGUAAACUUCAACUUUCAAUCUUUGCCAUUAGAAUUUUAUUGUCGGUUGUGUGCGAAGUUCUAAUAGUUGCAGUUAGUCCAGUUUGAUUGUUACUGAAGAAAAGAAAAAAUGAGGAAACUCAACAAUGAGUGUUCAAACUGGAUAAACCGUCAAAUAUUAGAACUACGAACACAACCCAAAAUUAUAUUCUAAUGCCAGAGGUCGAAAGCCGAAGUUUACUUAGACAAUAGGAUGCUGGAUGUUUCAAAUGUAGGGCUUAUUACUAUUUUGAUGUUGCACUUUUCCUGAUUUGGAUUUUAAUUCAUUUUAAACCAUGUAUUUCUUGUACCGCAGCUGCUGGAAUUUAUGGGCUUUUUCUAAACCAAAUUUUGAUGCUACCAGAUUGCUCGAGUCAUUCACCAUUCGUUUUUAAGUUCUUGAUUUCUACAUUGUGAAUACUACUAAGGUACCCGCCGGCCUUCGUGGACGCAACUUUCCUAUUUCGUCUGACUACACUUACUCCAAUUAAUGGCGUGCAGAAAGGAGGGGAUGGUGAUAUCCAUCUUUUCCUGAUUACAUCUGUAUUCCAAAAAAAUAGAAAGUCAAUAAACAGGAAAAGCCUAAUUAAAAAGUGGUCAAAAAGCAAUUACAGGA